GUUUGCACAGUUCUUUUAUACACAUUACCUCCUUUUGACUCCCCAAAGUCCCUGAGAGGUGGCCAGAACAUAUACAGUUCUGAUUGUAUAAAGAAACAAAGGUCCUGAGAGUGGGAGAGACAUCAGGGCCCAUGGGCAAGAAAAUGGGGCUUUUACACCUGCACCAGCCCUCUUGACUCCAGGCUGGCAUUCCUUCCACACCCUCUCACCACUUGCUACCUUAUAGGGUCCACCACUACCAGCAGAAACUCCACAGUCAAGCCUGGCACCAGCUAGGAUGCUGAUAACGUUGACAACAAAAUGAUCCUGUGAGUUCUGUCAAGAGCCGGAAGCUGAGCACUAGCGAGAUCUGAACAUCUCUGAUGGUCCUCAGUGGCCCCUCGCUGAGGUGAGCCCACCUGGUGGAAGCCUACCUACCAACCUGGUGAGCCUACCACACGUGGAAGUUCAGCAAGACUCAAAGAGAAUAUGAGAAAGAAGGCAGAUUUCUGGGAAACACGAGUGACCAAGCAACCCUAUCACAGACUUUCUUCCUCAUGUUACGUCCCUGUGUUGGCCACCUGCUUAUGCUGCAAAUGACAGCUCAGAAGGAGAAGGAGAAAGGGAGAGAGAGGACCCCCAGAGCUCCCUUUUAUCUUAGCCCUUCCUCACCCAGCAGGAAACUGAAGCUAGCACAGUGGCACACACCUCCUGGAAGAAUGACAAAGCUUCUUUCCUGAAUAUCACAUCAACGGUGAGCAGCAAACAACAAAGCUCUGAGCACAUUGCAUCUCCCAUAUGCCCCUGGGCCCCUCCUUGCAUAUCCAUCAACCGAGACCCCAUCCCUCUGGCACACGCGGCCCAGCUCACCACCGCCUCUAACAGGUGUCCUCCAACACUACUAGCAAAGUAUAGCUACUACCCCAGAACCAAGUGUUGAGAAGCCAGCAGCAUCCAGAACUCAUUAGCGAGGAGUGCAGCUAAAAUAAUGGGUUUCAUGAACUUUCUGUGACCAGAGGGCUGGAUCAGAGGCAUCUGAGCCCUAGCAGAGAGUAGCCGCUUAGGGCUAACCCACUCACCGCCAGCUUCGGGCUGCUCUGCUGGGAAGAUGCU